GGGCAGAGAGGGCAAUAGCACCCUCAGAACUGGCAGACCCCAGGCCUGGUGCUCCGGGCUCAGAGCCAGAAGCUGCCCCUUCCCUUCAGGAGCAACGGUCUUGGAGGCAAGGGCUUUCUCAUACCUGGACACGUGUCCCCAUCCCUUUCCCAGCGAGCCCGCACGGCAUGUCUUUGCCAGCAAGAGAGAUGGGUUUUUCUCUCAAUGAGGAAACUGACAUUCAGAUGGAAAGUCACACCCCUGAAUUACAGAGCUAGAAAACAGAGCUGGGAUUUCAGGUGGUUUAAUUUCACACCUACAGGUGA
rnacentral:lncRNA from 1 species